ACAGCAGCCUAAGUGUAGUUAGCUUUAUUCCACAGUAACGGGAUUCCAAGGAAUUUUCAAAACAAUCCUAGCACCUAUGGGGCAUCGUGGUCAUCCAAGCCCUAAGAAGGCUGCUGUCCAUCCAGUCAAGGCUAUCGGAGGGUGUCUGAGGUGUCCUCUCCCUCCUUAUCUGCACCCCUUCCCCUUCCUGCCUUCUCAGCCAGCAGCAGCAUUGCUUCAUUGAGGAAACCUGCACAACACACAAGCAACUAAGAGGCUUCUGGAUUUCAAAAGCCUGAGUUUUGAAGAUCUCAGCCUCCAGCAUUUAUGUCAUAAACAAAAUAUUUGGACCAUUGAUGGAGAGACUUUUACCCUCAGGCUAGAUUAAGAUUCACUAAUCAAGAGAAAGAAAAGAAGCAAAUCGGACCUGAAGAAGGUAGCUGAACCUUGAAGAGGGGAAUAACAGAAACUCAAGGUCAGGUGGAAAAAUCCAAGAGUACUUUACUGAGUUGUGAUGAGGAGACUCAUAGAAGCUUCACAUUUCUCUGACUGGGGCCAACAGGUCCUCCUCCCACACUCUGGACAGCCAGAUUCCUAUUUGGCAUUAAUCUGUGUGUUCCACAGUCCGCUUCUACAGCCUCAGGAAACCUCCCGUCAACACUGGGACCUCGGUAUGGGGCAAAUUUCAGGAGGAAAAGAAUAAAAGGAAUAAAAGUUAAGUCCUCCAGUAUUUUUUGGCAGAAAGGUGAGGAGCAAAGUUCCAAUGACUCAGGAUCAGUGAUAGAAGUUGUUGGUCCAUGGGGAAAAGAAUUGGGCAUCUCCAGCUCUGUGAUCUUUCUUCCAGGCCCUUGACCUGCCACCAGCAUUUUACAUACCCACGCAUACAC
rnacentral:lncRNA from 1 species